GUGAGUGCUGUAUUAUCUUCAUGCUGCUCCACUGCACUGCCUGUGAUGUGACUUCCCUCAACAUAGAAGAAGUGGCAGUCCUCUUCAGAGAAGGAUAAAUCUAGUGUGAGUUGCGUGGCACUGCAAGGCUUCAGGUGCAAAUGCCAUUGUCACUGAGUACUAGAGCCCCUGUCUGAAGAACCAGUUGUCGUGUUUCUGGAUCCUUCAUCACAUACGCAGUAAGACCAACAGCGCUUGAGCCUCUGCCAGAUGUAUACUGACCCCGAGGAACCAGGUUAUGCACAUACUGGAGCAGCUGUGAUUUGCUGGUACCAGGAUCACCACAGAGAAGAAUGUUGAUCUCUGCACGAAAGUUGCCUCUUCCUGUUAGACACCAUUUCAGAUACUGCCUCUUCCUCACCUACAUUCUCAGAAUACUGAACCAUCAAGGUCAGACAAUUCACUCCAGUAUGUUCAUGUCUCCCUUGGAGAGGGGAGUCCAGAACUGGACUGCAUACUCCAGAUGUGGCCUCACCAGUGCUGAACACAGGGGAAGGAUCACCUCCCUCAACCUGUUGGCAACGCUUCCCUUAAGAAGCCAGGAAGCUGCUGGCACCAGUCAUCUGGUCUGUCAAGCUCCAAUUCCUUCCAGUUUUGCUUUUGUCUGCAAGUUUACUGAGGGUGCACUCUGUCCCAUCAU